GACUCCGUGGCGCAACGGUAGCGCGUCCGACUCCAGAUCGGAAGGCUGCGUGUUCAAAUCACGUCGGGGUCA
rfam:Rhabditophanes sp. KR3021 genome assembly, scaffold: RSKR_scaffold0000057